rnacentral:lncRNA from 1 species
GAAUGAAGAAUGCGAUCGCUACUCACCCAUUCCAGAAGGUAUUGUCGCUCGAUCGGUUGAUUCAAGUCCGUGCUCCUUCGUCCACUUACAAUCUCCAGGCUGAGGAUCCCAAAGCUGAAAACGUCUGCUUUGUCUGUGAGGUGGCCGUGGAGUGCGUACUCCGGUGCCAUGUAUCCCCUGCAAUGCGGUAAGAGAUUGUGAAACUUUCUCAAGAGAUUUGUUCUUACAGAGUUCCUGCGAUCUGAGUGUUGAUAGAUCUCUCGUCCGAGUACAACCUUGCCAGGCCAAAGUCUGCGAUCUUGGCCUCGAACUUUUCGUCGAGAAGUACGUUCCCUGCCUUGAUGUCUCUGUGUAUGAUCUUUACCUGCGAAUCCUCGUGCAGAUAGGCAAGGCCUCGAGCUACACCAAGGAUGACAUUGUACCUUUGCUCCCACGAGAGACAAAGAUUUCCUGGAUCACAGGUAACUACUUAGUUCGUGAUCUUUUCAAACUUUCACGAAGCACGUACCUUGAAACAGGACUCUGGACAAGCUGUUGUUCUCGAGAAGCUCGUAAACGAGAAGCCUUUCGGAUUCCUCGGUACAGCAGCCGUAUAAUUUGACCA